AUUGAACGCUGGCGGCAGGCCUAACACAUGCAAGUCGAGCGGAGCGGCGGACGGGUAAGUAAUGACUAGGAAUCUGCAUGGUAGUGGGGGGUAAAGUCCGGAAACGGGCGCUGAUACCACAUACUAUCGGCUGCGCCUAGGUCGGAUUAGCUAGUUGGUGGGGUAAAGGCAUAACACGUCGACGAUCACUAACUGGUAUGAGAGGAUGAUCAGGCACAUUGGAACGGAGACACGGGCCAGAUCCCUACUGGAGGCAGCAGUGGGGAAUAUUUGACAAUGGUCGAAAGCCUGAUCGAUCAAUGCCGCUUGUGUGAAGAAGGUCUUCGGAUUGUAAAGCACUUUAAGAUGGGAGGCGUUACCAACAGAAUAAGCACCGGCUAACUUCGUGCCAGCCGCCGCGGUAAUAC
rnacentral:rRNA from 1 species